UGAACAAACCAGGUCACAAACUGUCAGAUGGUUGAUGACUUGUCUUGUGUAACGAUGUACGUUGAACUUUUACAGUAUUUAUCUGAAAAAAAAGCACACAGUGUGUAAAUGAAACGGGUUAUGUGGACUGCGACCAGAAAUAAAGAAGACAAGCAGACAAUAUGUGAAAUAUACAAACAACAAAUUGAGAUAUUUCGAUCAUAAAUUCUUUACUUUAGUUGUAAUCAUGCUUCUUGCCCAUUUUACUCGUAUGUCAAGAUUGUUUUGGUAAAAAAUCUUGAACCUUGUUUGCAUCCAUUCGAACAUUGUAUCGAGGCCAAGGAGCCACGACCCUUACAACCCUGAAAAUACAAGGAUUGGCCUCAACAUUAGAAAGACAGUGAAAGUAUGACCUGAUGUUGGAACAAAAAGAGGUACCAGAUUUUUGCUUCUCUUCUGAUAGGUCACUAGGCAAUGUCAAAAAUAUUGUGUCCACUAUUGCAAAGUUGCAUCUUUAUUCUUUGUGCUUGCAAUAGAUAUUCAUGUGCUUCACUUGUUUUACUUUCAGUUGUUUAUCAUUUAACUUUCAUUUCAAUUUUUCAUGUGACAUGUUUUCUGGUGUGCAAUGUUGUAUUGUAAUGUACUGUAGUGUGCAGUGUUGUAUUUAAUGUACUGUAGUGUGCUGUUUUGUAUUUAUACCACUUCUUAUGGCUAUUUAGCUGUAAUGUUGUUAAUUCCAACUCUCUCAAAUUAGCUUGUAAAUUGUUGCAAUGUUAUUAUUUGGUGCGAAUCCUGUGAAUAUAUAGGGUUGAAGUUAUCAGUUUUUUCUUGAUUUUCCAAAAAAGUUCGUAGUUUUAAAUAAUUAAUAAUUGAUAAAGUUCGAAUUCACCAUAUUCGGUCUUCCAGUUAGAAUUGAAUCAAUGAACCUAAUGAACCCUCCCCGGAUAGAAGCAUUUCUGUUAUCAUAUAUAAAUAAAUAUUUGUGUAUAUUCAAAUAGACAAUUUAUAAAUUACUAUAAGCAUAUUGAAUCUACACGCCUGCUAUUCCAGAGCAGUGCUUUAACAACUAGGCUAUGCCUAUGGAGAUAUUAUAUAUAUAUAAGAAGUAAGUCACCAGGUAAAGAUGUAUAAAACACAGAAACAUAUACUAUUUAAAAAGGUACAUACCGGUAGCAUAAAUGAGGUACAUGCCAAAAAUAUAUGAAUGAAUCACUUGCUAUUUCCAAUUCCAGUCAAGAUUAAACUAUUUUUCAAAACAUCUUGCAUUUUUAUAGUUAUGUAGCAAUAUGGUAAUGUUCUUCUUUAUGGUAAUAUGAAUUUCUUCUGGCAAAAAUCCUCAACCUUGUCACUGCCCACAAUUUUCCCCAUUGGGUAAUUCCAUGUGACUGACGUAACAUUUGAAGGAUUUUUUCAAACAAAAACACUUUAAAUAUUUUUGGCUGUUGUAUGCUAACCUUCCAUUUUCUUACAAACUUAAGGUUAUUAUAUCCUCUAUAUUAUGCAAAAGUUAAAUUAAAUGAAACUUAUGUUUUUUACUUUUCUUGGCAUUUAAGUGGCUAAGAAAUGAUGGAAUUAAGUUGUAUAGAAGAUGAUAAAUUUUUUAAUUACAAAUUUUCUAACCACUUGACACUAAAAUAGCUUAUCAGGUAAAAUACAUAAUUGCCAUAGAAUAAUAGUUAUAAUACUAUAAAUUAUUGAAAUUUAAAAAUGAUAGAAGAUAAAAUUGUAUGUCAUACUCUAGUGUAGUUAAAAAACUGUGCUCAUAGGAACCAGUGUAGCUAAUUGUUUAUUUACAUAUUACAUAUGUUUGUUUUUCUACUGUGCACUGCUUAUCAUCAAGGCCAAAAUGUUCUCAAAGGAUAAAGACUGUUCUUCCCUGAUUGGUUUUUAAUGCUUACUGUGUUCAGUAAACUAGGAGCUGAUUGUUUAUUCACAUAAAAGGCAAAUGUCAUCUACUGUGCACUCCUCAUGAACCCAUGUUUUGCACACAAUGCACUGCACCCAAUCAGUUUUGGUAUCCUUCCAUCGACCACUGCAAAUGUGACAGAUCAUAAAUAGGUUUGAUGAGAGCAAUUAUUUCAUCUGGCAGACCAGGUCCAGGCUUGUACAAGUUUAUUGUUAAUUGCCUUGUCUUGUUGUUAACGGCACCAACUAUCUGAACCGUUGCAUGAUAAGAAUGUUUCAAAAUAGGCACGAGCAUUUCCAGAACGAGAAGAUUCAAUGUUCAAAAUCCUUCAAAAUAGUAACGUUGCAUGAUAAGAAACUUUCAAAGUAGGCACGACUGCGAGCAUUUCCAGAACACAGAUUUGUUCGGUAUAGUAUAUGUAGAAUGUUUCAGUUUAUAAAAGAAAAGGCAAUUUCGGUUGUGAAGUCACAAUUCGUUCUAAAACCUUAGACAGUUCUCCUUCAUGGAGUCUUUGCAUUGAUCGUGGAUCUUGGUAAACUGGUAUGCUGUGUUUGGAUAGGCCAAUUUUCAGACCAUUGCUAAAUUGGACUUCAAAGAUAUCAGACAAAGUGAAUUUCCGCCUUGUGCCUUCCAGAAAUUCUUUCACAAAUACUCCUUCUGGGACAACCAGAUCUUUCAAAGAAGAUUCCCUGUUGUUGACCUGUUUAAAAAAAUUGGGAAAAUGCGUGUCUAGCAUAUCUCCCCAGACUAGGGUAAUGAGCACUUUUUUCAAACGCCAAAACACAGUUGAUGACAGUUCCCCACCAAUCUCAAAAUAUUUCUCUUGGACGUGUGGCAUUUGGGCAACGUAGGUGGCACAUCGCCGAAACUCAGCAGCGCCAAGCUCAGAGAACUUCUUUUUGUCCACCGGGUAUCCUUCCUUCAGAUAGCACUCCACACAAACCAUGAAAUAGACGCGCAAAGUCAAAACAUUUUGAGAACAACCGAUUGAGGUCAGAGAAGCAAUUGUCGAAUCGAAUAACCAUCUGGUUGAUCACAUCUCCGCCGAGCUUUUGCAGAUCACGAAUGCUGUCGUCUAGUUCACGUGCAGACCAAUCUACUGGAACUGCAUUGUCACCACCGCCAACGACAAACCAUCCAAUGUCCAGAUCAUUUUGAUCAUAGCGCAUUUCUCUAAUUUCAUCCACCCUUUGGCUCAGUCUGGGACAAACGUAAGUGCAGGAUUUUCCUCAGAUACUUGGACGAUGAAUCUCUCGGUCUGGUCUUUUACCAAAGGAAUAUGGGCGCACAAUUUCCAACCAGGAUACCAUUGAGCUUGUGAUUGGAGCAUAAGGACCACCAAGGGCCACAGCAAAUCGAGAACACCCAACAGGUCAUGGACAAAGUCUUGGCCGCAUAACUUGUAGCCAAGUUCUUCCCGAUUGUCAUGGUCCUUGAAGGUCUCAAUAUAAACUUCCAAACUCUCUGCAAGAUUUUUCAGCGACAGGUAGCUCGAACUCAUGAAACGCUGAUGGGCAUAAGAGUUGGUAACACGAAAUGGAAGUUUCAGAUCCUUUGCUGUGUGUCUAGCCACGCUGUGCAUCUUUCCAUGACUAAAUAGUUGAUGAUGUAAUGCAACUCUUCUCAAGAAACGAUCUACAAAAGAAGAAUCUUUGAAUUCACUAAGCAUCCAGAACAAUGCCUUCACGAGUACCAUUUACCACCGGACAAAUGACGGUGACCUGGUUGGUGAUCCGAUGGUUGGUCGAGUUAUUCCUGUGUUUGCCAGAGGGGUAGAAAUAAAAUUAGCAGUUUUCAUGUCGAUAUAUGCACAAGCUGCGUCAAUCAUGGCAGAAAACUGCAGCUUGAAGCUCUGCAAUUCGCGCCUCGUACUGGAUUGCCGCCGACUUCGUCUUCACAACUCCAAUAGCUGCACGGAGUUGAUUUUUUACAACUGUAACUUCCCUGGAUCGCCCUUGCCUUAUUAUCUUCAUGUGAUCCAUAGCAUUUUUUGUAUGUGCUCGAAGAAAGAUGUCGAUCGAAACAUAGCAUAGCUUGUUUUUGGCUAUACCAUUUCUCGCACUUUCGGCAAUGAGUUGUUGGUAUACUUCGUCUGACAAAAGUAAAGCUGUUGCCAAGCUUCCAUCUGCUGCACUAGUUGGUCGACGAAAAGAAGAUGAAACCGAAACACGGGUAGCAGAAAGUAACUCCUCUCAGCUACGCAGAUUUUAUAC